UAUCUCAGUUCGGAUUGGAGGCUGAAACCCGCCUCCAUGAAGUUGGAUUCGCUAGUAAUCGCGCAUCAGCCAUGGCGCGGUGAAUACGUUCCCGGGCCUUGUACACACCGCCCGUCAAGCCAUGGGAGCCGGGGGUGCCUGAGGUUCGUUACCGCAAGGAUCGACCUAGGGCAAAACUGGUGACUGGGGCUAAGUCGUAACAAGGUACC
rnacentral:rRNA from 1 species